GUUAUGGUGUAGUGAUGUAAGCUUGCAAGUACCCAGUGGCAUAACCAGAACUGUGGGUUUGCCAUCUCCUUGAGGUGCUGAGGUCUAACUCCUACUGAGGUUAUAUAUAUGUGUGUGUGUGUGUAUAUACAGUAUAGGUACACACACAUAAUGUACACAGUUAGGAAGUAAGGACGGGCAUUGUGAGUUCAUACUCGAGGGGAUAUGGCUUAUCAGUUCGUGCCCUUACAAUGGAAGACUAGGCCUUUAGCAAUCCACUAGGCAUCCCCAAAGACACAAUAGUCAUGCUGCUCAUGUAGUAGACAGCAAAGGCAUCCAUAUGCUGCAGGGAAAGCAGUGAUGUACAACACAAUAAAAUCAGGAUGUGAGCCAUAGGAGCAGAGCUAUCUACCAUUAACAGUGGGGCAACUGAUGGAUGAAAGAAUGAGGGGCCAAUGUUGAUGAGGAAGGGAUGGCACCAGCAGGCCUGCAGAGUAAAUCAACAGAGAAGAAUUAGAUACCAGUCGAAUCAAUAUUCACUGACCCUGGUAAGUAAGACCAGCAGAGGAAGCCAAUACAUAGCAAAAUUCUCUAUCAGGGUAUUUUCCCUGCAGUAUUGUUAGUAAACCUUGUUUGUCUAGGAAUGCCAAAUUUACUUCAGGCAAUCAUGUGUUUUGUUGCAUAUAUGUUUUUCUUGGAAUUUUCACAGUUUCUCUGGUUGAUCUCUGUUAUGGUGCUUCUACCUUGUAUGAGCCAGGUGCUGGCUCUUGCAGUCGGUUGAUUAUGAAUGGGUCUUGGUGGCUGGUGCAUUGAGCUCCUCCUGCCUGGCCACCAGACGAUUGAAGACCUGAUGUUGUUCUGUUACAUCUCGUUAUUAAAUUGAGAUUAAAUUAGAUACAUCGAGUUAGUAAUAUUAAUUUAAUUUUUUAAUUAGAAUUUAGUGACCACUCCUAAAUAAUUAUUAAGCCUUGCACUGACUAAAUGUGGGAAAGUGUGGGAGGGAGGAAAGGUUCACCAUUAUAGAUAAACACAGCCCAUGUUGGUGACGUACCAUGUUGACGAUGACAAAAUCCUUGCAUUAGUUUCCUAAAGAUCUACUACAGUAUUCUUGUUUAAGGUAACUGCACUGUUUUUUACCUCACAAUUGAUAAGUAUACAAACAUAAUAUGUAAGAUUUGGUUGUUUCUUGUGUAUAUAAGGUGUUAGGAGUGAGUGUGGCUACACUGUAGGACAUCACCAUAAUCAAAAGUGAGAAUACUAACUCUUCAACUUCAAAUUGAAGUUAACAAUUGAUGAAACUGGGAUUCUUUCAUUACAUAAUCAAUUGUGAUUUUCCCAAUCUAAUAAGUAAAUUGCCGGCAGGAGAGGAAGUACCAACUUUACAAGUCAGACAAGAGGCAGCCGUAUUUUCCACGAAGCCGCUUCUGGUCCAUGGAUGAUGUUUCUCGAAGUUUACUUUGGUCUAUGGAUGUUCUUAGACAGGCAGUGGCAUCGAGGAAACAGCUGGUGACUGUUGAUUCAUCAUUGCUCAUGAAGUGAUGUAACAAGUCAAUCGGGAAUGGAAGAAGACAAAUUUUUCUUGGCAGAAAUUAUGUACAGUGUCUGAAAGAAAUGAUACUCGUGUUGGAUACCGAAUCUUAAUUAAGUGAAUGAUACUUAUAAAUAAAGCUAGUUUAGUUCAUUUAUUAUGCACCCCAUACCCAUCUUGUGGGCGGUAGUGGAAAGGGUUACAGAGGCACAUAAUGGGCUCAGGGACUGAACCCCACAAUUCAUUUA
rnacentral:lncRNA from 1 species